rnacentral:sRNA from 1 species
UUGACAGCCUUCGAGAAUGGAGCCAUCUCUUCACAGAACAGACCAUCACAAUGAAUCUCACACUGCACUGCCAAUGUGCCGGAACCCUGAUCUGGAGGGACCAGGUAGUUCAGUCCCAAUGCCCAAUCAUUUCCUGGUUUUU